rnacentral:rRNA from 1 species
GGAUCCAGACUUUGAUUCUGGCUCAGGACGAACGCUGGCGGCGUGCUUAACACAUGCAAGUCGAACGAGAAUCUACUGAAAGAGUUUUCGGACAAUGGAUGUAGAGGAAAGUGGCGGACGGGUGAGUAACGCGUGAGGAACCUGCCUUGAAGAGGGGGACAACAGUUGGAAACGACUGCUAAUACCGCAUGAUGCAUAGGGAUCGCAUGAUUCUUAUGCCAAAGAUUUAUCGCUUCAAGAUGGCCUCGCGUCUGAUUAGCUAGUUGGCGGGGUAACGGCCCACCAAGGCGACGAUCAGUAGCCGGACUGAGAGGUUGAACGGCCACAUUGGGACUGAGAUACGGCCCAGACUCCUACGGGAGGCAGCAGUGGGGAAUAUUGGGCAAUGGGCGCAAGCCUGACCCAGCAACGCCGCGUGAAGGAAGAAGGCUUUCGGGUUGUAAACUUCUUUUAAGAGGGAAGAGUAGAAGACGGUACCUCUAGAACAAGCCACGGCUAACUACGUGCCAGCAGCCGCGGUAAUACGUAGGUGGCAAGCGUUGUCCGGAUUUACUGGGUGUAAAGGGCGUGCAGCCGGGUCUGCAAGUCAGAUGUGAAAUCCAUGGGCUCAACCCAUGAACUGCAUUUGAAACUGUAGAUCUUGAGUGUCGGAGGGGCAAUCGGAAUUCCUAGUGUAGCGGUGAAAUGCGUAGAUAUUAGGAGGAACACCAGUGGCGAAGGCGGAUUGCUGGACGAUAACUGACGGUGAGGCGCGAAAGUGUGGGGAGCAAACAGGAUUAGAUACCCUGGUAGUCCACACUGUAAACGAUGAAUACUAGGUGUGCGGGGACUGACCCCCUGCGUGCCGCAGUAAACACAAUAAGUAUUCCACCUGGGGAGUACGAUCGCAAGGUUGCAACUCAA